CCAGCAGCUGCCCCUGACUCUGCUGAUUUGCAUCACGGGCCGCUCUCUCAGCAAGGGGAUAAGAGAGGCCUGGGAGGAACCUGCCCAGCCUGGGCCUCAGGAAGCAGCAUCGGGGGAGCCUCAGCCAUGGCCUGGACCCCUCUCCUCCUCGGCCUCCUUGCCCACUUUACAGGCUCCAUGUCCUCCUAUGAGCUGACUCAGCCACGCUCAGUGUCAGUGUCCCCAGGACAGACAGCCAGUAUCACCUGCUCUGGAGAUAAACUGGGGGAUAAAUAUGCUUACUGGUACCAGCAGAAGCCAGGCCAGGCCCCUGUGCUGGUCAUCUAUCAAGAUAGCAAGCGGCCCUCAGGGAUCCCUGAGCGAUUCUCUGGCUCCAACUCGGGGAACACGGCCACCCUGACCAUCAGCGGGACCCAGGCUGUGGAUGAGGCUGACUAUUACUGUCAGGUACCACACAGCAGCACUGCACACAGUGACACAGGAAGAUGUGGAAGUGAGACAGAAACCUGCCGUCUCAGCCUGGCUCACAAGGCCCUGCACACAGCACACACAGGCUGGUAGACACAGGGAAGGGAA